AUGUACGACGCGUACAACCCGAUUACUCCGCGCCAUACGCACCCACCUGACGGCCACCCGCUAUGUUUUGUUAGUC
rnacentral:sRNA from 1 species